AACGAACGCUGGCGGCAUGCCUAACACAUGCAGGUCGAGCGCCGUAGCAAUACGGAGCGGCGCACGGGUGAGUAACGCGUGGGAACCUGCCCAGAGGUUCGGGACAACCGCGGGAAACUGCGGCUGAUACCGGAUGAUACCUGAGGGUCAAAGAUUUAUCGCCUUUGGAGGGGCCCGCGUCAGAUUAGGUAGUUGGUGGGGUAACGGCUCACCAAGCCUGUGAUCUGUAGCUGGUCUGAGAGGAUGACCAGCCACACUGGGACUGAGACACGGCCCAGACUCCUACGGGAGGCAGCAGUGGGGAGUAUUGGACAAUGGGGGCAACCCUGAUCCAGCAAUGCCGCGUGGGUGAUGAAGGCCUUCGGGUUGUAAAGCCCUUUCGGCGGGGACGAUGAUGACGGUACCCGCAGAAGAAGCCCCGGCUAACUUCGUGCCAGCCGCCGCCGUAACAC
rnacentral:rRNA from 1 species